rnacentral:rRNA from 1 species
AUACGGAGGGUGCAAGCGUUGUUCGGAAUUAUUGGGCGUAAAGCGCGUGUAGGCGGUCUGUUAAGUCUGGUGUGAAAGCCCUGGGCUCAACCCAGGAAGUGCAUUGGAUACUGGCAGACUUGAGUAUGGGAGAGGAAAGCGGAAUUCCGAGUGUAGGAGUGAAAUCCGUAGAUAUUCGGAGGAACACCAGUGGCGAAGGCGGCUUUCUGGACCUAUACUGACGCUGAGACGCGAAAGCGUGGGGAGCAAACAGGAUUAGAAACCCGAGUAGUCC